rnacentral:rRNA from 1 species
ACGGCUCAUUAUUAACACCCGUAAUCUACCCAGUUUUCGAAUCCUAAACGGAUAUCUGCGUUAAUUUUGGAGCUAAUACGUGCUAAAAGUCACUUCUAGCAAUAGUUGUGCGCACUUAUUAGAUCAAGGCCGACUGGGGCAACCCUUUUGGUGACUCUGAAUAAUUUUGCGGAUCGCAUGGUCUUGUACCGGCGACGUACUGGUCGAGCGGGUGCCCUAUCAACUAUUGAUGGAAGUCUAUGUGUCUUCCAUGGUUGUAACGGGUAACGGAGAAUAAGGGUUCGACUCCGGAGAGCUAGCCUUAGAAACGGCUAUCACAUCCAAGGAAGGCAGCAGGCGCGUAAAUUACCCACUCUCAAUUCGAGGAGGUAGUGACUAUCAAUAACGAGACAGAUCUCUUUGAGGUCUGUCAUUGAAAUGAGCACAACUUAAAGACUUUAACGAAGUCUAUGGGAGGGCAAGUCUGGUGCCAGCAGCCGCGGUAAUUCCAGCUCCCAACGNUGUAUAUCGUCAUUGCUGCGGUUAAAAAGCUCGUAGUUGGAUCUUAGUUCACGACAGUAGUUCACCUUGUGUGAUACUGCUUGUCUGGACUGUUUCGCCGGUUUUCCUUGGUUUCGGCCUUGGUGACUGGUGUUGUAACUUUGAUUAAAUCAAUGUGAUUAAAACAGGCGUUUGCUUGAAUGCUUUAUCAUGGAAUAAUAGAAUAUGACUUCGGUCCAUUCUGUUGGUCUUGGG